rnacentral:rRNA from 1 species
GAUGAAUGCUGGCGGCGUGCCUAACACAUGCAAGUCGAGCGGCAGCGAGGGGUGCUUGCACCCUGUCGGCGAGCGGCGAACGGCUGAGUAACGCGUAGGAAUUUGCCCCAAAGUGAGGAAUAACUGCCCGAAAGGGUAGCUAAUGCCGCAUAUGGUCUUCGGAUUAAAGGAUUUAUCCGCUUUGGGAGAAGCCUGCGUUGGAUUAGGUUGUUGGUAGGGUAAUGGCCUACCAAGCCGACGAUCCAUAGCUGGUCUGAGAGGAUGUUCAGCCAGACUGGAACUGAGACACGGUCCAGACUCCUACGGGAGGCAGCAGUGAGGAAUCUUCCACAAUGGGCGAAAGCCUGAUGGAGCAACGCCGCGUGAAGGAUGAAGGCCUUCGGGUUGUAAACUUCUUUUAUGAGUGAAGAAUAUGACGGUAACUCAUGAAUAAGCACCGGCUAACUACGUG